CACUUCAACUUGGCUGCAGACCAUGUGACUCGUGGAGACUGAUCAAAUACUCUGAAACACUACAGACACACCAGGUGUGAAUGCACAUAAUGAAGAGAAGGAUUGCUUGGAUUAGGUCUGGUUGGGCUGAGUGAGAGGAGCAGCUGCCGUUGUCCAUUGGGUUUCUGCGGUUCAGUCCAAUCCAAAACCAGUGCUGCUCAUGGUCCUCUGACUCCCUGUGGGCCACAUCGUCGUCACCAUCACCGUUAUCAUCAUCAUAUUACAUCACAUGCAACCUGGUCAGAGGUGCACACCCACCCAAAGGCCUCGUGGAGGACCUGCAGAACGAACUGCUCCUCUUCAGGGCUGCCGAUGCUCAGCAGGUUGGCUCCGUGUCUGUGGCAGUACAGGUAAAACUGUGAAGAACUGAAAAUUGUUGCUGGUCAUUGGUCAGAUUCUCAGUGCUGUUUACUUAUAUUUCAUUAAAAAAAUAAUGAUUUGAA